rnacentral:rRNA from 1 species
AUGCUGACAUAAGUAACGAUAAAGCGGGUGAAAAGCCCGCUCGCCGGAAGACCAAGGGUUCCUGUCCAACGUUAAUCGGGGCAGGGUGAGUCGACCCCUAAGGCGAGGCCGAAAGGCGUAGUCGAUGGGAAACAGGUUAAUAUUCCUGUACUUGGUGUUACUGCGAAGGGGGGACGGAGAAGGCUAUGUUGGCCGGGCGACGGUUGUCCCGGUUUAAGCGUGUAGGCUGGUUUUCCAGGCAAAUCCGGAAAACUAAGGCUGAGGCGUGAUGACGAGGCACUACGGUGCUGAAGCAACAAAUGCCCUGCUUCCAGGAAAAGCCUCUAAGCAUCAGGUAACAUCAAAUCGUACCCCAAACCGACACAGGUGGUCAGGUAGAGAAUACCAAGGCGCUUGAGAGAACUCGGGUGAAGGAACUAGGCAAAAUGGUGCCGUAACUUCGGGAGAAGGCACGCUGAUAUGUAGGUGAAGUCCCUCGCGGAUGGAGCUGAAAUCAGUCGAAGAUACCAGCUGGCUGCAACUGUUUAUUAAAAACACAGCACUGUGCAAACACGAAAGUGGACGUAUACGGUGUGACGCCUGCCCGGUGCCGGAAGGUUAAUUGAUGGGGUCAGCGCAAGCGAAGCUCUUGAUCGAAGCCCCGGUAAACGGCGGCCGUAACUAUAACGGUCCUAAGGUAGCGAAAUUCCUUGUCGGGUAAGUUCCGACCUGCACGAAUGGCGUAAUGAUGGCCAGGCUGUCUCCACCCGAGACUCAGUGAAAUUGAACUCGCUGUGAAGAUGCAGUGUACCCGCGGCAAGACGGAAAGACCCCGUGAACCUUUACUAUAGCUUGACACUGAACAUUGAGCCUUGAUGUGUAGGAUAGGUGGGAGGCUUUGAAGUGUGGACGCCAGUCUGCAUGGAGCCGACCUUGAAAUACCACCCUUUAAUGUUUGAUGUUCUAACGUUGACCCGUAAUCCGGGUUGCGGACAGUGUCUGGUGGGUAGUUUGACUGGGGCGGUCUCCUCCUAAAGAGUAACGGAGGAGCACGAAGGUUGGCUAAUCCUGGUCGGACAUCAGGAGGUUAGUGCAAUGGCAUAAGCCAGCUUGACUGCGAGCGUGACGGCGCGAGCAGGUGCGAAAGCAGGUCAUAGUGAUCCGGUGGUUCUGAAUGGAAGGGCCAUCGCUCAACGGAUAAAAGGUACUCCGGGGAUAACAGGCUGAUACCGCCCAAGAGUUCAUAUCGACGGCGGUGUUUGGCACCUCGAUGUCGGCUCAUCACAUCCUGGGGCUGAAGUAGGUCCCAAGGGUAUGGCUGUUCGCCAUUUAAAGUGGUACGCGAGCUGGGUUUAGAACGUCGUGAGACAGUUCGGUCCCUAUCUGCCGUGGGCGCUGGAGAACUGAGGGGGGCUGCUCCUAGUACGAGAGGACCGGAGUGGACGCAUCACUGGUGUUCGGGUUGUCAUGCCAAUGGCACUGCCCGGUAGCUAAAUGCGGAAGAGAUAAGUGCUGAAAGCAUCUAAGCACGAAACUUGCCCCGAGAUGAGUUCUCCCUGACUCCUUGAGAGUCCUGAAGGAACGUUGAAGACGACGACGUUGAUAGGCCGGGUGUGUAAGCGCAGCGAUGCGUUGAGCUAACCGGUACUAAUGAACCGUGAGGCUUAACCUUACAACGCCGAAGGUGUUU